ensembl:lncRNA
GUCCAGCAGUCUUUGGGCCCGUGUUUAAGACCAUUCAUUGUUAAAACUGUGUUGAACAAUCAACAGAGCUUUAUUUUAUUAUUACCUAAAAAUUGAAUUCUGCUGCGGAGCGGAAAAGAGCCGCAUGCGGUUCUGCAGCUGCUUGUUGUUGACCCCUGGUCUAGGUAUUGAUGAUACCUUGUGAAACUGUAGUAUGGUAGCACUGUGGAAGUAGUGCCAGCAGAAAUAGGGGAAGUAGGAUUUAACCCAUUUCAUUGUACAACUAAUUGACACAAUUGAACCACGUAAAUCCAAAACACUAUUUAUUCUUAGUACACAGUGCUGCUAUAAAACAUGACGUGGCUAAAGUUCAGACAAAGGUAGCUGUAGCUGUGUGGAAUUAGGGCAUGAAGUUACAGGAGAAGCUCAGCUUGGAGUUUUGAGAUGAUGUGUCUCACACAUUAUCCUGCUCAUAUUUAACUGAAUGUUAAUACUUGUGUCACUGUUUUAUGUUAUAGUGAAAAAAAACAGGACUAGUGAAUUCACAAUACAGAAUACAGUGGAAAUCAGCAGUCCUGCCAUAACAGUGGACCAGACAGUGGACAAUGGACCAGACAACAGACCGCAACAAUCUCACUUCAGGUUCUUGGCGGUGAUUAUCAUGACAUGUGUGGGAAUGCUAUUCUUUGUGUGCGUGUUCAGUUUGGUUCAUGUACUCAAACGGAUCAACAGCUGCAACCUGUCAGUUUCUGCCUCCUACAAUCUCAGAGACAAUCAGAAAUCAGACCCAGAACAUACAGAGGUGAGUCUGAUGUGAAAUUAUAAGCUAAACGAUUAAAAUAAUAAUGAACAUAACAGAGCAGAUUGGACAUGGCAAUCAUGCCAAACAGUGAGAGGUCAUAUACACCAUAAGAAAAUUUGUUAACCAUUUGUUAAAAUUCAAUUUAUAUCAUUAAAAUGCCCUUGUAAAGCCUUUAUUUAAGACCUAGCAAGCCAGUAGUUGGUGGUUCCUCAUUAUUAUACCAGUAAGAAGUGGUGAAUUAAGCUUUUUCAGAGGCAUUUUACUGAUAUACAUCAUAAUAUUUUUCACAACAGGUGUCUGAUUGUAAUCUGUCCUGACAAUAGCAUAGGAUAUUACCAAUGACAUGCUUAUGGCAGUACCUCUCUUAACAAUAGGGUGGGACCCUCAAGGGUCCAUCUCAGUAACUUUGGUCAGGGAACAUCACUGAACCAUGAUCCACUGAAAUGAUCUGUUCUAAGCUGUACUGACUCCACACACCCCGCCUCGCCUCCAGGCUUUUAUUCUACUGCUCUGUUUUAAAACAUUCGGUUAUGAAAAGGAACAAAUACCAACUUUUUACCUGGAGGAACUGAUUUAAGCUCCACGAUCAGACCUGAAAACCACUGUUGUAUUUUUGAGGGAACAUUUACACUGUUUGUACCUUAAUUAAUGGUGUACAAUUUAGAUUACACUCUCCCCAUAUACUAUUAUCAUUUAGCCUAAAAAAUAUAUUUAUAUUAUAUUAUAUUAAAUAUAAAUAUAUAUUUAACCAGUUGGUCACCGGUUUGUUUGUUUGUUUGUUUUUUUGGAUGGUCCCCUAUAGAUGCUCUACAGAUACUUAAAAUUUUUUAAACUUUCAGGUGGCACUCAGUUGAUUAACAACAACAUUUAGGCAAGGCUUAGGUUCAGAGGUAGGUUUAGAUUUUGCCUUAAGGUUAGGUUUAAAGUUGGGGAGAGGUUUUGUAGAAUCUUUCACCUGUUCAGUUGCAUUUAGUAGAUAUUUAUUUGGAUGUUACUCAUUCAAAUGUGGAUGUGGACCAUUCAAAUACCUUAAAGUUACCUUAGCUGACCUUUGGCCUUUUUCAUUUUCAAGUGCUGAUUGAAAGUGUGAAAUUCUCACUUCCUUUUCAGGAUGACUAUGUGAGAAUGAAACCUGGUGUGGGUCGGGUUCACUCACCUGCAGCCGAGGAUAAAAAUUCACCUUCAUCAGAACCUUACUCGAGCCUACCCACGCCUCAAACAGGUGCAACGGUGGCCAACAUGAGCCGCCCUGAGAUAGACCCAUACUAUUUAGAUCCAUUCCCUGUAAUAAAUACGGAUCUAGUUUCAGAAUACAUAGAUCCAAAUGCACACAGACUCGGCAGUGUGUAUGAAAACCUCAAGGCCGAUUCUAUCCAAGAGCCAGUCUAUCAGACCGUAGACCUCACAUAAGGCUAAUGUAAAAGCAGUUGCUGGUAAUGUUGUUUUGGUGGUAUUUUAUUUUAUGGUACAGUAAGGACCUGAUAUGUAAUAAGUAAAGCUGUAGCAGGGCCAUUGGCUCAGUAUGUAAAGGUCCAGGGCUCAGUCCAGUUCAUUGUAGGGUUGUUUUGGGGUCUCCUGAUUCAGGUAAGAAUGUGAGGAUCUACACAUCAACAAACUUGCAGGAAUUCAGCAUUCGGCAUUCGUUAUUGUUGUGUUAAAAAGAAAGCCGUAAAAAAGAGGGGAAAAAGGUGAAAGUGUAAAAAGUGUCCUAAUGCUAUUCUUAAAGUCCUUUGACAAUAUAAAGACCUCUUUCCCCACAUCCACCAUCACUUCCCCAUGUCUCCUCUCAAAAGUCCUGCUAACAGAGAAACAAUGUAUCUUUACUUUUGUUACUUUACUGGGAAGUUAUAACGCUCCAUAAACAAUCAGUACAACUGCUCGUAAAACCAAACUAGAAUAUUUAUAGCCAUGUUUAUGAUGCCUUAUGAAGGCAUUAUAGUGUGUUCAUGAGUUUUCUAGACAUGGUGUUAUGUGGCAGCAGGGAGGCGGACCCAAGUGCAGAGAGGAAAACCCGGGCGAAAGGGUCUUAAAUGAAUUUAUUGAGGUGACGGAAUGUAAAUUUGGCAUUGUAAAUGUAAAUUUGCACAUUGGGGUUGAGGUGGCUAGAGCCAAGGUCAAGAGGACUUAUCACUGCGCCACCGGGAAGCGCAGACAAAACACCUCAAUGAAUAAUAAAAUAAUAAAAAAUAAAAAAAAGUGGGGAAAAGCAAACAAAGGGGACGCUGAAAGCAGCAUGCUCUAACAAAGGCAGAGUAUAAAUAAAACACUUCCUCUGUGAUUAUGAGAGGAAGAUCAAUUUGAUCUUUCACCGGUUUGUCUAAAUACCUACCUGGGCUAAAUACUGUAUCGGUCACCCUGUUUGCCACAGUCUUAAGUAGAAGAGUCCAUGGGUGUGCCAGGUUGGGCUUAAUCAGCCCAAAGGCUUCUCGGAAUUGGAGUUCCCUGAAAUUAUGGCAGCUCACCACCAUCGCCCUCUGUUGAUAGCCAGUGGUACUGGCUGGGCCCUUAUACAUGGUAUUCAUUGAAAGUGUUGCCAUCACUGUGUCAAACAAAAACAGCACACUAAAUAUUGUGAGGGUUUUGAUGAGCACUGUUUAUCCCAUCCAAACCAGACAAUGGCCAACAAAAUAUUUGAUUUCAGGUUGAUUUAUUUAUUUACUUAUUUCAUUUUUUUGGAUGUACAACAUCAGGAAAAAAUGCUUAUUUCCAGACAUUUCAUUCACUCAUCAUGUUCUCUCUUGCUCUCUGUCUCUCUCUCUCUCUCUCUCUCUCUCUCUUUUUUUUUUCUCUCUUUCUCUGACAUUAUAGUCUGCGUUUGGAAUAUCUCUUGUUCAUGGAAUGGGUGAAUGUGAAUUUCUGUACUGGAAUAAAGUUAUUCACUCCAUAUUAGUCUGUACUUCUCUGUCGUCAUACAUGUAUAUGUCUACUGAAAUGUUUAAUCAUGAAAAGCAGAAAUAUACCUAGAAUUUCUCACAUUAAUUCCUUGUACUUACAUAUU